GAAAGAUUUAUCGCUUUAAGAUUGGCCCGCGGAAGAUUAGGUAGUUGGUGGGGUAAAGGCCUACCAAGCCGACGAUCUAUAGCUGGUCUGAGAGGACGAACAGCCACAUUGGAACUGAGACACGGUCCAGACUCCUACGGGAGGCAGCAGUGAGGAAUAUUGGGCAAUGGAGGAAACUCUGACCCAGCCAUGCCGCGUGAGUGAAGAAGGUUUUCGAAUUGUAAAGCUCUUUCGGAUGUGAAGAUGAUGACGGUAACAUCUAAAGAAGCCCCGGCAAACUUCGUGCCAGCAGCCGCGGUAAUACGAAGGGGGCAAGCGUUGUUCGGAAUUACUGGGCGUAAAGGGUGUGUAGGCGGGAAAGUAAGAUAGUGGUGAAAUGCCUGAGCUCAACUUGGGAACUGCCAUUAUAACUAUUUUUCUAGAGUGACAGAGAGGAUAUUGGAAUACCCAGUGUAGAGGUGAAAUUCGUAGAUAUUGGGUAGAACACCGGAGGCGAAGGCGAGUAUCUGGCUGUCAACUGACGCUGAGGCACGAAAGCAUGGAGAUCAAACAGGAUUAGAUACCCUGGUAGUCCAUGCUGUAAACGAUGAAU
rnacentral:rRNA from 1 species